rnacentral:rRNA from 1 species
AGCACCACAACGGGUGGAGCUUGCGGUUUAAUUGGAUUCAACGCCGGAAAUCUUACCGGGACCGACAGCAAUAUGAAGGCCAGGCUGAAAACUUUGCCGGAUUAGCUGAGAGGUGGUGCAUGGCCGUCGUCAGUUCGUACUGUGAAGCAUCCUGUUAAGUCAGGCAACGAGCGAGACCCACGCCCACAGUUGCCAGCGUACUCUCUGGAGUGACGGGUACACUGUGGGGACCGCCGCUGCUAAAGCGGAGGAAGGAAUGGGCAACGGUAGGUCAGUAUGCCCCGAAUAUCCCGGGCUACACGCGAGCUACAAUGGUUGGUACAAUGGGUAUCUACCCCGAAAGGGGACGGGAAUCUCCUAAAACCAAUCUUAGUUCGGAUUGAGGGCUGCAACUCGCCCUCAUGAAGCUGGAAUCCGUAGUAAUCGCGUUUCAACAGAACGCGGUGAAUACGUCCCUGCUCCUU